UGAGGAAUAUUGGUCAAUGGGCGAGAGCCUGAACCAGCCAAGUAGCGUGAAGGAUGACUGCCCUAUGGGUUGUAAACUUCUUUUAUAAGGGAAUAAAGUGGAGUAUGUAUACUCCUUUGUAUGUACCUUACGAAUAAGGAUCGGCUAACUCCGUGCCAGCAGCCGCGGUAAUACGGAGGAUCCGAGCGUUAUCCGGAUUUAUUGGGUUUAAAGGGAGCGUAGGCGGAUGUUUAAGUCAGUUGUAGAAAGUUUAAGGCUCAACCUUGAAAUUGCAGUUGAUACUGGAUAUCUUGAGUACAUUGAAUGUGGGCGGUAAUUCGUGGUGUAGCGGUGAAAUGCUUAGAUAUCACGAAGAACUCCAAUUGCGAAGGCAGCUCACAGUAAUGUAACUGACGCUGA
rnacentral:rRNA from 1 species